rnacentral:lncRNA from 1 species
AUGAUUACUAUAGGACUUGAUGAAGCCUUCUGUCAACAGCUGACCAAACAGGCACAAAGAAGAGAUAUAGUAGUCAUGGGCGAUUUCAAUUAUUCCGAUAUCUGCUGGAAAACAAACUCGGCCAAGAGUACAAAGUCCAACAAAUUCCUCACUUGCCUUGCAGACAAUUUUAUGGUCCAGAAGGUAGAAGAGGCAACAAGAGGAUCAGCAACUCUUGAUCUAAUCUUAACAAAUGUGGAAGACCUGAUCAAUACAGUUGAAGUGGUUGGAUCCUUAGGGGCAAGUGACCAUGUGCUCCUGGAGUUUGCAAUACAAAGGAAUGCUGAAACUAGGACAAGUCAAACACGCAUUCUCGACUUUAAGAGAGCUGGCUUCCAAAAAAUGAAGGAAUUACUGAGCAGCAUCCCAUGGACGCCAAUAUUAAAAAACAGAGUUAAGGAUGGAUGGGAGUUUUUCAAAAGUGAAAUACUCAAGGCGCAAAUGCAAACAGUGCCAACAAAGAAGAAAAAUAAGACAAAUGCAAAGAAGCCAGAAUGGAUGUCCAAAGAACUUCUAACUGAGCUAAAGCUCAAAAGUGACAUGCACAAGAAGUGGAAAAGGGGAGAAAUCACCAAAGAAGAAUUCAAACGUAUAGCCAACACCUGUAGGGAAAAGGUUCGCAAGGCUAAAGCGCAAAAUGAGCUCAGGCUUGCCAGGGACAUAAAAAACAACAAAAAAGGUUUUUUUGCUUACGUUGGUAGAAAAAGGAAGAAAAAGGAGGCGAUAGGGCCACUGCAAGGAGAAGAUGGGGUGAUGGUGACAGGGGAUAGGGAAAAGGCAGAACUGCUUAAUGCCUUCUUUGCCUCGGUCUUCUCACAAAAAGAAAGCCAUCUUCAACCUCAGCAACAUGGAAUGGACGAAGGAUUGGGGGAAAUUCAACCCCAAAUAGGGAAACAAGUUGUCCAGGAACACCUGGCCACUCUAAACGAAUUCAAGUCGCCAGGGCCAGAUCAGCUACAUCCAAGAGUAUUGAAAGAAUUAGCGGAAGUUAUUUCAGAACCACUAGCAAUUAUCUUCGAGAGUUCUUGGAGAACAGGAGAAGUCCCAGCAGAUUGGAGGAGGGCGAAUGUGGUCCCUAUCUUCAAGAAGGGAAAAAGAACGACCCAAACAAUUACCGUCCGGUCAGCCUCACAUCAAUACCAGGCAAGAUUCUGGAAAAGAUCAUUAAGGAAGUGGUCUGCAAACACUUAGAAACAAAUGCGGUCAUUGCUAAUAGUCAACACGGAUUUACCAAAAACAAGUCAUGCCAGACUAAUAGGAAUAUAUUUUCAUAACCUGUUAAGAUUAUGAUUCCAAUAUGGUUAAACAUUCGUGCAGAGCAGUAAAAACGCAGAAGACUAGGGGUUUAUGUGAGCAGAGGUAAAAAGAAAUUAAACAAUAAGACAAAAUAUCCAGCCUCCCUUUCCCUUUAAAAAGUCAUGCGCAUAAAAUAAGCAUCAGAGACAUCAAAUAAAAUAGCAAAAAUAUGUUUACUCACAAUCUUGUAUGAUGAUGGUCAUACAGGCAAAAACAUCUUAGUUCCAAAGAAAAACAGUUCAGGAAACUACAUAUCUCUUAACAGACAGGAACAUCAGCACGGCAUGGUCAGGAGCAAAGAGGAAGAGACAGGAAGAGGCAUCUGUACAUCACUUCCUGUGUGUCCCCAGAAAGGAUACUCCCAUUUCUCAUUUCAUAUGCAAAACCCCCUAAAUGGUGUCAUCAACUCUAGAAUGCAGCUUGUCAGGUUACUAAGCAACAGACAUAACUAACUACAUAAACCAUCCCACAUUGAAAAUGCAUGCAUGAUUGCUUAGAUAACCCAACACAGACUAAUCUGAUCUCUUUUUUCAAUAGAGUUACGAGUUGGGUCGAUACAGGGAAUGCCGUGGAUGUAGCGUACCUGGAUUUCAGUAAGGCCUUCGACAAAGUCCCCCACAACCUUCUGGCAAACAAACUAGUUAAAUGUGGGCUAGACAAAACUACGGUUAGGUGGAUCUGUAAUUGGCUAAGCGAACGAACCCAAAGGGUGCUCACCAAUGCGUCGUCUUCAUCAUGGAAAGAAGUGACAAGUGGAGUGCCACAGGGCUCCGUCCUGGGCCCAGUUCUGUUCAACAUCUUUAUUAACGACUUAGACAAAGGGUUAGAAGGCACGAUCAUCAAGUUUGCAGAUGACACCAAACUCGGAGGGAUAGCUAACACUCCAGAAGACAGGAGCAGAAUUCAAAACGAUCUUGACAGACUAGAGAGAUGGGCCGAAACUAACAAAAUGAAGUUCAACAGGGACAAAUGCAAGAUACUUCACUUUGGCAGAAAAAAUGGAAAUCAAAGAUACAGAAUGGGGGACGCCUGGCUUGACAGCAGUGUGUGCGAAAAAGACCUUGGAGUCCUCAUGGACAACAAGUUAAACAUGAGCCUACAAUGUGAUGCGGCAGCUAAAAAAGCCAAUGGGAUUUUGGCCUGCAUCAAUAGAGGAAUAGCGUCUAGAUCCAGGGAAGUCCUGCUCCCCCUCUAUUCUGCCUUGGUCAGACCACACCUGGAAUACUGUGUCCAAUUUUGGGCACCGCAGAUGAAGGGAGAUGUUGACAAGCUGGAAAGCGUCCAGAGGAGGGCGACUAAAAUGAUUAAGGAGAACAAGCCCUAUGAGGAGCGGCUUAAAGAGCUGGGCAUGUUUAGCCUGCAGAAGAGAAGGCUGAGAGGAGACAUGAUAGCCAUGUACAAAUACGUGAGGGGAAGGCAUAGGCAGGAGGGAGCAAGCUUAUUUUCUGCUGCCCUGCAGACUAGGACACGGAACAAUGGCUUCAAACUACAGGAAAGGAGAUUCCACCUGAACAUCAGGAAGAACUUCCUCACUGUGAAGGCUGUUCGGCAGUGUAACUCUCUCCCCCGGACUGUGGUGGAGGCUCCUUCCUUGGAAGCUCUUAAGCAGAGGCUGGAUGGCCAUCUGUCGGGCGUGCUUUGAAUGCGAUUUCCUGCUUCUUAGUGGGGGGUUGGACUAGAUGGCCCAUGAGGUCUCUUCCAACUCUACUAUUCUAUGACUCUAUGACUCUAUGAAGGCCAUUUGUGGCUCUUCAGCAUGGGGAGUUGUAGCUGUUUGUGUAGGUGGGACCCUGUAUGUAUAAAUGGACACCCAUGCCACAUACACACAUACAGAUUUCCACUUUUAUUAUGUGCAUAGAAGAUGGAUAAAUAUUAGCUUUUAAGUACAAAGGUCUCCUAUUUUAAUAACUGUACCUACCUAAAACAUAUCUUGAAUUUCUCUUUUUGUCGUUUUAUUCUUUAAAAGAAAUUAAUUGCUUGUAUGUGUGCCACAUCUGGGAGUGGGACCUGAGUAUCUAGUUUUCAUGGGUCAUCUACAGGUAGGAAAUGAGGGUGCAAAUUAUUUAGGGCUGCUGAGGUAACCUCCAAGGAAGAUGAAAUACAAUGAACAAAUCUUCAUCUCACCCAGUAGAGCAGCAGCCUACUACAAUAUGCAACACUUAAUUUAUUUGUUGAUGUAUGUUGAAAAGACUCUCCAGGAUGUUUAUGUAUUUAAUUAGUUAGCACCCUCUUUCCUUCCCAAUUGUUGUGUCAGAGCUCACCCUCUGCAUCCACUUUCUGGCUAGUGGGCUAGAUUCAGUGUUCAUUUUCCUAAAUAACUGAGAAGAAA